rnacentral:rRNA from 1 species
UACGAAGGGGGCUAGCGUUGCUCGGAAUUACUGGGCGUAAAGGGUGUGUAGGCGGUUGCUUAAGUUUGGUGUGAAAUCUCCCGGCUCAACUGGGAGGGUGCGCCGAAUACUGAGUGACUCGAGUGCGGGAGAGGAAAGUGGAAUUCCUGGUGUAGCGGUGAAAUGCGUAGAUAUCAGGAGGAACACCGGUGGUGUAGACGGCUUUCUGGACCGUAACUGACGCUGAAACACGAAAGCGUGGGUAGCAAACAGG